CUAGUUACUGAGUAUAUGAUCUCUCCAUACAGCAAUGUUAUAGAAGCACCCAAAUCACAUCAUCUUAAAGGGUUACUUCAACCAGAAUGCUGUGUUUUAAGAAAACACUGGUGUUGGUUAGAGUAACUCUUACGGCCCCUUUUGACAACUUUAAAAAAAAUAUUAAAUAAAAGGCUAAAACUCACCUCGUUCCCAUUGCUAAGUCCACGUUCUACCUUCAAUCUUCCUCUACGG